GUGCCACAGUAUACUCUUCAUACACAACAAUUCAUUAGAUUGCAUACUGAACUUAUUUUAGUCUUACUGUCAAUUUUCUAUAUCUUAUUUCUUAUCAUGUAACCCAUUUUUGUAACAAUAAAGGAGAAUGUGACACGAAAAUAGUGAUAUGGAUAAUGAGUCAAUUACUACUUUGGUUAUAGUGCAAAACUGCAGCGCUUUGAAAUUAUUCUACUUGAUUUCUUGGCUUAGGAGGCACUCUUUUAUGAAUUGGAUGUAACCUUGAGAGGGAUAUAGAUUAAUUAGUAGUGGUUGAGUUAUGAAUAUUGUACAUAAUGUCUUGUCUCAUAUUGAAUGAAUUGGAUGUAACUUUGGGAUCAAUGGUUGUAAAAGGGAUUUAUGGUUACUAUAAUGUAAAGUUUCAUUUUGAUUUCUUUGGCUUAGGAUGCACUUUUUUAUGAAUUGGAUGUAACCUUGAUAGGGAUAUAGAUUAAUUAGAAGUGGUUGAGUUAUGAAUAUUGUUUAUGGCUACUAUAAUGUAAAGUUUCAUAUUUGAAUGAAUGGCUUUGUUUUCAAA